GGCCCAAUAGCACAACUGGUAGUGCGCCUACUUAUAAUCGUGUCUGCGUAGAGGAUAUGCAGGAGACCCUCGUUCGAUUCGGGGUUGGGCCA